AGUCUGACGGAGCAACGCCGCGUGAGUGAUGAAGGCUUUCGGGUCGUAAAACUCUGUUGUUAGGGAAGAACAAGUGCUAGUUGAAUAAGCUGGCACCUUGACGGUACCUAACCAGAAAGCCACGGCUAACUACGUGCCAGCAGCCGCGGUAAUACGUAGGUGGCCAGCGUUAUCCGGAAUUAUUGGGCGUAAAGCG
rnacentral:rRNA from 1 species